rnacentral:rRNA from 1 species
AACGGUAGAAAGUCUUCGGACUUUUGAGAGUGGCGAACGGGUGAGUAACACGUAGGUAAUCUGCCUCUGCGUUGGGGAUAGCCCAUGGAAACAUGGAGUAAUACCGAAUACGAUCUUUUUACAGAAGUAGAGAAGAGGAAAGGUGCUACGGCACCGCACAGAGAUGAACCUGCGGCUCAUUAGCUUGUUGGUGGGGUAAAGGCCUACCAAGGCGACGAUGAGUAGCCGGCCUGAGAGGGUGACCGGCCACACUGGGACUGAGACACGGCCCAGACUCC